UCACCACACUUUCACUUCUCUUAUAAUCCACAGGUUUUACUCUUAGAGUGGCAGCAAUAGCGAUGGACAAAAUUCGUCUGGCUUGCCUUGGGCUUGUUGCCAUGUUUGUGUUGCUCCUGGUAAUGGGAGUGGACGUGGGAGGAAUCGCAAACGCUGCUGCCCAGCGCUGCCAGUCGGGGUGGUAUUGGUAUGACAAUGGUUGCCACCGUUGCCCGAGGGGUUCGAGCUGGCGCAACAAUCGCUGCUGGAGAAACUGAAGCCUCUGCUUUUAAGGGUAAGCGCAAUUCUCAAUUCAACUCGUAAUCUCUAUGAGUGCAUUGCCAGGGUCUGGAAAUAAGAAUAAAAGACACCGGACGGUAACAUGUUUGUGUGGAACAAAUAAAAUUUUUUUUUGUCUUUUUCUUUCUUUUUUUUCUUUUUUGCUUCAUCUCGAGAGUUUUGAGCUCCCGUGGCAAUACUUCCUCAUCGUCUAGCAACCUUUCUUCUUGGUUUACAAACUAGAAAAUUAAGCUUUUUGGAUCAAUGGCUCAUCUUCGUGUUGGGAAUGGAACCCAUGUUAUGAGACAACCACAUGAUUUGCAGCUGGAAGUAACUCGCAUGAUGAAGGCGGCUACGAACGCAUUAUCGAGCAACAUCAGGUUCGAGAUAGUCGGAGGACCUCUUUCUUUUCGAUUCGGUGCCACAGAUAAUCACGCAAGUAGCAGGAUGACUCAUGCCUCGAGGUGAGACAAUCGAUGCUACUGGCUGAUCGCAAAUUGAUCGACCACGUGGUAGAAGUGAUUCCAAACACUCCAGCCAAAUUUUCAUUAAUAUCAUAUAUUAAAUCGACAAUAAGAGCUGAGGGUGUCUAUAUACUCGAGCAACUAUUGCCUGAUAAAUCUAACCAGAAUUAUAUAACAUUAAAAUAGCAUUAAUAAUGAAAUUAACAUUAUAUUAUAGAGAUAUAUGAGUGUAUACUAUUAAGUCGAUGUGGAACGACGAAAAGCGUAUUAGAAAACCAAAUUGUCAAUAAAUCUGAUCCUUCCCAAGACCAACCGAUGAGCCACAAAGUUACCCACAAACAAUGCACGUGGAAACUUGCUUCGUCGCAAGGUGAGUAUAUAGAUACCCCUCUCAGGAGAGGUUUCCACAAUCUCUCUUCUAACAGAUUCAGUGCUCAGAAGAUCUUCGAAGAAGCUCUCUAAUGCUUAUUUGGUUUCUUGUUCUUUUCGCUUGCAAUAGCGGUCCAGCGAUGAGGAAGAGUCAGUUGGUUUGCCUUGGGCUUGUUGCCAUGUUUGUGAUGAUGCUGGCCAUGGGAGUGGAAGGGGGAGGAAAGGUUGCUGCCCAGCGCUGCCAGAGAGGGUGGUACUGGUAUUACAAUGGUUGUCAUGACUGCCCGAAAUGCUGGUAUUCCAAAGCGGCUGGAGCUGGGCCAAUGGCCGCUGCUGGAAAAACUUAGAUAUCCGUAGUCAUGCCAAAAGUCUAUCAACAUCAUAAUUCGGAAGGUUUUGUUUGAAUGAUGUAAGAUCCUCCUAAAUCCUAAUUAGGAUAAAACGAUUGUUUGUGAUCUGUUUAAUUUCAUCUGGAGUAGAUUCUUGUCUCCAGUCACGGAGCUUUUCUUGCGUGGCAAUUCUUUGGUUGUUAUAUAGCAAACAGAACAGCAAGAAUUAUGUUACUGAUCUUUAAGUUUUUUGCGGUAUUUGGCCAGCGCUGGUGUUCGGAUAAGAUAAGAAUUGCCUGGUCUGCAAGCUCCAAAAACCGAUCAAGCCAAGAGAAUCUGGUGUAUGUGGUUUUGUCCUUUAAAGUCCACAGGAAUGUACUAACACGAACGCAUGUUGUACAAGAGAUCAGGCCAAGUUGGAACAAACGUAUUACUAAAAACUAUAUGAUUUAUCGAAAGAGUGAACAGAAUUACAUAGCUAGCCAAUGGUCAUAUUUUUAUUCUUUCGUUGGUCCAAGUCAAACAGUGUAAAAGUCUGUAAAGAAAAAAACACAUUGGUGGCAACACUGCUCUUCUCGACAAGCUCUCACAGCUCUACAGUCGCUUCCAACUGUAACAGCGUAAAUUCCAGCACACCAGACUUUUCAAGGCCUGUGCGAAUGCAUUGAGAAAGAGGUCUCUGGAAACACCUGCAGUAACGAAGUAAUUUAAGACUUUCGUGCGCUACCGUUUAUGAGAAGCACAGCGAGCUCCAUGAGCAGCAAAGGACCCCCUACAAACAAAGACAUUGAGAAGAUGGAAACAAAAACUAAGAGAGAAAUACCUGUGAGAGUGAGCUCAUGCGAGACAAGCACCACAAUCCUUCCACGCAUAAAAUGUAGGCCAUGGGAAGGAGUAUCGCGCCGCUCCCUCACUCACCAAAAGAAGCCCUAGAAAUCCAAAUGCCGCGACCCCCGAGCUUGAGAAGCGAUCGCAAUCCCACCUUGCGCUUGAUCGCUCCUAUUCCCGUCUAAAGAACAAAGAAAAAGAUCUGCAAUCCUGACCGUUCAAACUCAGCGUUGGCGAUUAUGCCAAGUGGCAACCGAUUUUAACAAAUGCAAACCUUAAUUGAGUCUUUUCAAAUGGUGGGCGCGAAUUGUAAUGAAAGACUUUGGCCUGGAGCCGCGCGGUCUUUGUAUCUAUCCACACACUCUCGACGCUAUAUAAACACCACAUCUCUUACAAUCCCCCACACUCUCUCUAGUGCUCCUUUGUUCUUUCGCUUUGGUUUGCUCUUUCUCUCUUCUCCAAUUCCAAUCAAUCAAUCAAUCGAUUGACCGAUUGCUAUGGCAAGCAGCAAGACUCGAUUGGUGUGCCUGGGCCUGGUUGUGAUGUUUGUGAUGCUCCUGGCGGUGGGAGUGGAGGUCGGGGGGAUCACCAAGGCGGUGGCGCAGCGCUGCCGCAGGGGAUGGUACUGGAAUGGAUCUCGCUGCGUGCAAUGCAAUUGGUACUGGUAUGACAACGGCUGCCAUCGAUGCCAGCGUGGGUGGCGCUGGAAUGGCAGCCGCUGCGUCAAUUAAGGAAAGUUUGUGAGUGAUCUCUGGGGCCUGGAACCAUGGGAGCGAAUGUCGAAUGGGUGAAGAAGUACAUAGAAUAAAACUGUGGCUUCGAAACGGGAAUGUUUUGGAGUCCUUGUGUGAAAUCUAUUCCGAUGUUCAGGCUCUGAGAUUAUCAAUGAUAAAUAUGGUGUGUUUUCUGGAAAGUGGUUGUCGCAGUGUAACGUUCGCAAAAUGCAUGCAUUUUUAAUAUAUAACUUUGCAUGCGAUUUCAUAUAUUCAGCCAACAAACUUUCCAACUGUGCAGAGAAUGACCAAGAAAAUCUUAACAUUGACGUACACUAAAAUAGAAAGAAAGCCAAAUAUUGAGAUUGAAGAACAGGUGGUUCUUCAGAAAUCUGGAAUCAAUCUAUGCAUGGAUGUAAAGCGUCCAGCUUUCGGUAACAUUAUAAAUGUAAACACAACAGUUCCAAAAGCAAUAUAAAUAGCUAAGUGUUUUUGUUUUGUCAAUGAAAAGCUGUUUAUUUUGUCCCGAGACUUUGCCAUCCUAGUCUCGACGUGGAACUUAAAAGAAGAUGCAAAAGCUCUGGCAUGUGACACAGUAGUCAGGAGGCAAAUUUGUCAACGAAUCUGAUCUCUUUUACAGACGAAGUCUAGCAGUUUUACCACAUACGGCACAAUUAUACACACGGAAAUUUGCUCGGUCGUUGCAAGGGACGUAUAUGAAACGCCCCUCUCAAUCGAGACGAAAUCAUCAUUCGUCUGGCUUGCCUUGGGCUUGUUGCCGUGUUUGUGUUGCUCCUGGUAAUGGGAGUGGACGUGGGAGGAAUCGCAAACGCUGCUGCCCAGCGAUGCCGGAGAGGGUGGACAAAGGUUGCCACCACUGCCGAAAGGGUUGGAGCUGGCGCAACAAUCGCUGCUGGAGAAACUGAAGUCUCUGCUUUUAAGGGUAAGCGCAAUUCUCAAUUCAACUCGUAAUCUCUAUGAGUGCAUUGCCAGGGUCUGGAAACAAGAAUAAAAGACACCGGACUGAUGUUUGUAUGGAACAAAUAAAAUAUAUUUUUGUGUUUCUCUUUUUUCUGUUUUUUGCUUCAUCUCUGGAGACACUGAAACUUCAGGUUUUAAGGGGUAAGUGCAAUUCUCAAAUCAACUCGUAAUUUCUAUGAUUUCAUCAUGCUGCACUGUCAGGGUCUGGAAACAAGAAUAAAAGACACUUUGUAUCUUGCAGCAAUAAUAACAUACAUAUAAAACUUUGCUUCAUCUCGAGAGUUGUGAGCUCGGGUGGAAUUACUUCGCAAACUUUCUUUGUUUACAAACUAGAAGAUUAAGCCUUUUAGAUCAAUGUCUCAUCUUCGUGUUGGGAAUGGAACCAUGAGAUAAAGCCACCUGAUUUGCUUUACCGAGUAGAGCUUGCAUGAUGAAGCCGGCCACUGCAUUAUCGAGCAACAUUGGGGGACCUCUUUCGUUUCGCUUGGGUGCCACAGAUAAUCACACAGGUAGCAGGAUGACUCAUGCCUGGUAUCACGAGAGACUUUGCAUGAUCCAAGUGGAAGGCAUGCUUUCUAUCUGCUGCGACCCAGCUCCUGCAAAUUGAUCGACCACAUGGUAGAAGUGAUUCCAAACACUCCAACAUUAUUAGUUGAAAUUUCC
rnacentral:lncRNA from 1 species